UGAUUAAAUUAGUAAGAGCGUACGGUGGAUGUCUUGGCAUAUAGAGCAGAAGAAGGACGCAGAUAACGGCGAAACGCCUCGGGGAGUCGUACACAGGCAACGAUCCGGGGGUAUCCGAAUGGGGAAACCCGAUAAAGUUGAAAAUCUUUAUCAUCCUUAAGCCAAUACAUAACUUAAGAGAAGGCAACCCAGGGAAUUGAAACAUCUUAGUACCUGGAGGAGAAGAAAAUAAGAAUGAUUCCGAGAGUAGUGGCGAGCGAAAUCGGAGCAGCCCAAACCAGCAAAGAGCUGGGGUAGUAGGACCACGACAAGUGAUUGAAAAGAGAUAGUCGAAUGGCAUUGAAAGGUCAGCCACAGAAGGUGCAAGCCCUGUAGGCGAAAUCUCGAUUCACGCGAGUGGGAUCCUGAGUACGUCGGAGCACGUGAAACUCUGACGGAAGCGACCGGGACCAUCCGGCAAGGCUAAAUACUCCUAUAUGACCGAUAGUGAACCAGUACCAUGAGGGAAAGAUGAAAAGAACCGCGGGAGCGGAGUGAAAUAGAUCCUGAAACCGUAUGCUUACAAAAAGUCAGAGCACAUUAAGGUGUGAUGGCGUGCCUUUUGUAGAAUGAACCGGCGAGUUAUCUUUGCAUGCGAGGUUAAGCAGACAAUGCGGAGCCGUAGCGAAAGCGAAUCUUAAUAGGGUGGCAAGUAUGUAGAGAUAGACCCGAAGCCGUAGUGAUCUAGUCAUGAGCAGGUUGAAGGCUGGGUGAAUCCAGCUGGAGGACCGAACCGACCCCCGUUGAAAAGUUGGCGGAUGACUUGUGAUUAGCGGAGAAAUUCCAAUCGAACACGGCGAUAGCUGGUUCUCCCCGAAAUAGCUUUAGGGCUAGCGUUGAACGAAUCUACCCGGAGGUAGAGCACUGAAAUCAUGCGGGCGGCAUCUCGCCGUACCAAAUGAUAUCAAACUCCGAAUGCCGGGCAAGAAUAUUCAGCAGUCAGACUGUGGGUGAUAAGGUCCAUGGUCAAAAGGGAAACAGCCCAGAUCAUCAGAUAAGGUCCCAAAAUUUACGCUAAGUGGAAAAGGAUGUGGAGACGCGCAAACAGCUAGGAGGUUGGCUCAGAAGCAGCCAUCCUUCAAAGAGUGCGUAACAGCUCACUAGUCGAGUAUCUCUGCGCCGAAAAUUAACCGGGGCUAAGCGUAAUACCGAAUCUAUGGAUUUAUACUUAGGUAUAAGUGGUAGGGGAGCGUUCCAUACAGCAUUGAAGGUAUACCGUAAGGAGUGCUGGAGCGUAUGGAAGUGAGAAUGCCGGUGUGAGUAGCGAGAUGUGGGUGAGAAUCCCACACACCGAAAAACCAAGGUUUCCAGGGGAAGGUUCGUCCGCCCUGGGUAAGUCGGGACCUAAGGCCAGGCCGAAAGGCGUAGUCGAUGGAUAGCAGGUUGAUAUUCCUGCACCCGCGAGUAAAGUGAUGGAGUGACAGAUAGGGUUAACCAGAGUCCUAAAUGGAUUGGGCAAGGCAAGCAGGAGAGUGGCGUAGGCAAAUCCGCGUCGGAUACUCAAAGGCUUGACUCAAGCGAACGCGCGAGCAAGUAGUGAAGAAGGUGAUACCAGGUCUCGAGAAAAGCUUCUAGCGAUAAUUUACUAGCGGCCCGUACCAAAACCGACACAGGUGGUUGAGGCGAGUAGCCUAAGGUGAGCGAGAGAACUGUUGCCAAGGAACUCGGCAAAUUGACCCCGUACGUUAGCAAUAAGGGGUGCUCGAAAGAGCCGCAGUGAAUAGGCCCUAGCAACUGUUUAACUAAAACAUAGCUCUCUGCGAAGUCGCAAGACGAAGUAUAGGGGGUGACACCUGCCCGGUGCUGGAAGGUCAAGGGGAUUUGUCAGACGCAAGUCAAAGCAUUGAACCGAAGCCCCAGUGAACGGCGGCCGUAACUAUAACGGUCCUAAGGUAGCGAAAUUCCUUGUCAGGUAAGUUCUGACCCGCACGAAAGGUGUAAUGAUUUGGGCACUGUCUCGGCAGCAGACUCGGUGAAAUCUUAGUACCUGUGAAGAUGCAGGUUACCCGCAACUAGACGGAAAGACCCCAUGGAGCUUUACUGUAGUCUGCUAUUGAGUUUCGGUUAAGUAUGCACAGGAUAGGUGGGAGACGAUGAGACUGGUCUUUCGGGAUCAGAGGAGUCACUGUUGGGAUACCACUCUUACUUAAUUGAAAUUCUAACUCUAAGCCGUGAUCCGGCUAGAGGACCGUGGCAGAUGGGCAGUUUGACUGGGGCGGUCGCCUCCCAAAGAGUAACGGAGGCGCACAAAGGUACUCUCAGAAUGGUUGGAAAUCAUUCAACGAGCGCAAACGCAGAAGAGUGCUUGACUGCGAGACAAACAAGUCGAGCAGGGACGAAAGUCGGUGUUAGUGAUCCGGCGGUGCAGAAUGGAAUGGCCGUCGCUUAACGGAUAAAAGCUACCCUGGGGAUAACAGGCUGAUCUCGCCCAAGAGUUCACAUCGACGGCGAGGUUUGGCACCUCGAUGUCGGCUCAUCGCAUCCUGGAGGUGAAUUCGCUUCCAAGGGUUGGGCUGUCCGCCCAUUAAAGCGGUACGCGAGCUGGGUUCAGAACGUCGUGAGACAGUUCGGUCCCUAUCUGUUGUGGGCGUUGGAAAUUUGAGGAGAGCUGCCCCUAGUACGAGAGGACCAGGGUGGACGUUCCUACGGUGCACCAGUUGUCACGCCAGUGGCAUAGCUGGAUAGCUGAGAACGGACCGGAUAAACGCUGAAGGCAUCUAAGCGUGAAACCGACUCCAAGAUUAGAUUUCCCAUCAUUUCAAAUGAAUAAGACCCCUUGAAGACGACGAGGUUGAUAGGUCAGAGAUGUAAGUGUAGCGAUACAUUCAGUUGACUGAUACUAAUAGGUCGAAGAUUUAUUCAC
rnacentral:rRNA from 1 species